rnacentral:rRNA from 1 species
CAGUAGCCACGGUAAUACGGAGGGUGCAAGCGUUAAUCGGAAUUACUGGGCGUAAAGCGCACGCAGGCGGUUUGUUAAGUCAGAUGUGAAAUCCCCGAGCUUAACUUGGGAACUGCAUUUGAAACUGGCAAGCUAGAGUCUUGUAGAGGGGGGUAGAAUUCCAGGUGUAGCGGUGAAAUGCGUAGAGAUCUGGAGGAAUACCGGUGGCGAAGGCGGCCCCCUGGACAAAGACUGACGCUCAGGUGCGAAAGCGUGGGGAGCAAACAGGAUUAGAGACCCGUGUAGUCCCUGUCUCUUAUAC